AUUGAACGCUGGCGGCAUGCUUUACACAUGCAAGUCGAACGGCAGCGCGGGCUUCGGCCUGGCGGCGCGUGGCGAACGGGUGAGUAAUACAUCGGAACGUGCCCUGUAGGCGGGGAUAGCUCGGCGAAAGCCGGGUUAAUCCCUCAUACGAUCUCAGGGUGAAAGCGGGGGAUCGUUGGAGCUCGCGUUGUUGGAACGGCCGAGGGUAGCUUUGCUAGCUGGUGGGGUAAAGGCCUACCAUGGCGUCGAUUUGUAGCUGGUCUGUGAGGAGGACAAGCCACACUGGGAUUGAGACACGGCCGAUACUCCUACGAGAGGCAGCAGUGGAGAAUUUUGGACAACGGGCGCAAGCCUGGUCCAGCAAUGGCGCGUGUAUGAUGAAGGACUUCGGGUUGUAAAGCACUUUUGGCGGGAACGAAAAGGACUGUACCAACAUCAUGGUUCAAUGACGGUACCCGAAGAAUAAGCGCCGGCUAACUACGUG
rnacentral:rRNA from 1 species